UCUUGUUCUGGUGAAUCAUUUUCUGAGG
rnacentral:piRNA from 1 species